UACGUAGGGGGCAAGCGUUGUCCGGAUUUAUUGGGCGUAAAGAGCGUGUAGGCGGCCAGAUAGGUCCGUUGUGAAAACUCGAGGCUCAACCUCGAGACGCCGAUGGAAACCAUCUGGCUAGAGUCCGGAAGAGGAGAGUGGAAUUCCUGGUGUAGCGGUGAAAUGCGCAGAUAUCAGGAAGAACACCGGUGGCGAAGGCGGGUCUCUGGGCCGAAACUGACGCUGAGGAGCGAAAGCGUGGGGAGCGAACAGG
rnacentral:rRNA from 1 species